rnacentral:piRNA from 1 species
UGAACUGAAGUGGGGUGAAGACAC